AUUGAACGCUGGCGGCAUGCUUUACACAUGCAAGUCGAACGGCAGCACGGACUUCGGUCUGGUGGCGAGUGGCGAACGGGUGAGUAAUACAUCGGAACGUACCCAGUAAUGGGGGAUAACUAUCCGAAAGGAUAGCUAAUACCGCAUACGCCCUACGGGGGAAAGAGGGGGAUCGCAAGACCUCUUGUUAUUGGAGCGGCCGAUGGCUGAUUAGCUAGUUGGUGAGGUAAAGGCUCACCAAGGCGACGAUCAGUAGCGGGUCUUAGAGGACGAUCCGCCACACUGGAACUGGGACACGGUCCAGACUCCUACGGGAGGCAGCAGUGGGGAAUCUUGGACAAUGGGCGCAAGCCUGAUCCAGCAAUGCCGCGUGCGUGAAGAAGGCCUUCGGGUUGUAAAGCGCUUUUGUCAGGGAGCAAAUCCUUGUGGCUAAUACCCACCGGGGAUGAGAGUACCUGAAGAAUAAGGACCGGCUAACUACGUGCCAGCCGCCGCGGUAA
rnacentral:rRNA from 1 species